rnacentral:rRNA from 1 species
UAAGGAAUAUUGCUCAAUGGGAGAAAUCCUGAAGCAGCAACGCCGCGUGGAGGAUGAAGGGUCUAUGACUUGUAAACUCCUGUAAAGAAGGAAAAAAUUCCCAUUUGAUGGGAGAUGAUGGUACUUCUGGAGUAAGCCCCGGCUAACUACGUGCCAGCAGCCGCGGUAAUACGUAGGGGGCAAGCGUUGUCCGGAUUUACUGGGUGUAAAGGGUGCUCAGGCGGAUUUGUAAGUCAGAGGUGAAAUCUUACAGCUUAACUGUGAAACUGCCUUUGAUACUGCAAGCCUAUAGUAUGGAAGAGAGUGAUGGAAUAUCUGGUGUAGCAGUGAAAUGCGUAGAUAUCAGAUAGAACACCAAUGGCGAAGGCAGUCACUUGGUCCAUUACUGACGCUAAAGCACGAAAGCGUGGGUAGCAAACA